rnacentral:lncRNA from 1 species
GUCUUGGCGGAAGGUCCGCCUUCCCUGCAGUGCCGGUUAGGCACAUGCUCCCUCUCGGAGGUCUUUGCCUGGCCAGGACCUCUGUCUGGGACCUGAGUCUCUCACACCAAGCCCGGUGCAGACUGAAAAACCUUGGUUAAGUGCGCCCGCUCCUGGAGGGGCCGUCUCAGGUCCGCACGGGCCUUGCCUCUCUGUCUCCGCGUUCGGCUGCGGCCGCGGCCCUAGGACACCGCUGAUGGCCUCGGGGCCCGUUAUGUCCCCCGAGAAAAACCCCGCGCGCCAGUCAACACUGUGAGCCCGAGCCGUGUUUCUGUGGAAGGAGGUGGGACUUGGACUGAUGAAACAGCGCGUGUGUCAGGUGCAGCCGGGCCCCCGGCCAGGUAGAGUGUUUGCCCUAUUUGCUGAGUUUAUUUUCCAGUCCGAAAGAGGAGAACAAGGCCCGUGAGGCCUGCCCUUCUUCCCCUCCUACACCCCACUGACCAGAGCAUCCAGACCCCUGCAGGAGGCGCAGCUGCAGACAAGUCAGACCCUGUGCUUCUGCGUUCGCAAGCGAGCAAGCACCGACACAAAAGCCAGCGUGAAGCUACAGGCCUGGAGAAUGGCCCUCAUUCCCGUCCUGUUUGCCAACUUGUUUUCUGUGUUUAUUCCUCGUGAAUAAAUACCAGUGACAAACUCUUUCCUGGCCAGAUGAAUAAAUAUGUUCCGAAUCACAGAAGCAGCACACAGUGGACACAGAGGAAAGAGAUCAGAUCAGCUGGGAGACGUUCAUACCUGCUCGUCGUGCCUCAUGGGAUGUGACCUGCACACCCAGACUUCCUCAGUCCUCAGACAGGAUGGGAGCAAGGACAGCAGGCCAGGACAUCCAAAGCCAGCCCUGGGCUGGAGCACCCGGGACAUGGACCACAGGCUUCUGCUCUCGGUGACCGGUGUGUAUCGUCCUACUUCGGAGCCCUUUUAA